rnacentral:rRNA from 1 species
GACGAACGCUGGCGGCGUGCUUAAUACAUGCAAGUCGAACGGAGUGGCGAACGGUUGAGUAACACGUGGGGAUCUGCCUGGUAGUGGGGGAUAACGUUCGGAAACGGACGCUAAUACCGCCUAAUAUCAGUUUCGCCUAGGUCGGAUUAGCUAGUUGGUGAGGUAAUGGCUCACCAAGGCUACGAUCCGUAACUGGGCUGAGAGGAUGAUCAGUCAAACUGGAACUGAGACACGGUCCAUACUCCUACGGGAGGCAGCAGUGGGGAAUAUUGGACAAUGGGCGAAAGCCUGAUCCAGCCAUGCCGCGUGUGUGAAGAAGGUCUUCGGAUUGUAAAGCACUGUAAGUUGGGAGGCGUUACCGACAGAAUAAGCACCGGCUAACUCUGUGCCAGCAGCCGCGGUAAUAC